rnacentral:siRNA from 1 species
UAAGAUGUUCUGGCCACA